UCAAACCUCUCUCUCUCUCUCUAAGAAACUCUAAUUUUGUUCUUUGUGUUCGUGAGCUUGUUGUUGAUCGAUUCUUUUGGUUUCAUCCACUCGGAUCUGAGUGUUCCUCGAAAAAUGCUCGAGUUUCGGGGGUUUUCUUAAAAUGCUUCAGAGUGAACUUCAUCGGUAAAUAUUGACAAGUAAACAAGAGACCACCUCAAGUAUGUUCUUUUCAUACUUGCAUGAAUGCAAAAUCCACAAUGCAGAGGUAGGUUUAAACCUUGUAUCAGUUAUGUUAAUGCUUUUGCACCACUGUAAUAUUUAUGUGAGAAUGCACAAAUAUUGUCACAAGAGCAAGAAUCAGGUUAGUUCUAAACAGGAAAGAAGCAACCUAGCGGGUUGAACAUUCCAAGAGCAGUCCGCCUGCCAGGAUUGGGUCUGCAUGCCAAAUCGUAACAGCAACAGCUAUUUAUGGUUUUCAAUUCCAUAUGCGACUGUAGCCUGAUAUAUGCAAAUGAAGCGGGUUAUUCCUUCUUUGCAUUACAAAACAGAAGAGAUGGUGAUCGCUCAUUUGCAGGUUCUAUCAAACUGUUAAUUGAAACAACAUUGCUUGGCAUUAUCAUAAUUUUCUUUUUGAAAAAUAUCGUAUAUUACCACUGGUUUAGAGUUUUGGGAAGAUAGAGAUAGACCUAGAGGUAUGUGUACAGGGUUCUUAUUUCCCACUUUUCCUGGUUCCUGCUCAUGUAGAUUAGUGCAUGUGUAUUAUGACCCUUUCAGAUUAAUGGGGUAGUAGGCAAAAAAAAAGGCUUUGUGAAUAUGAGGUUUCCGGUGUACACACUAGUCAGGAUGUUAAAACAAUCAUUAUUUAUCGCUGCCAGAUGCGCCUGUGGAAUUAUUGUAAUUUCUAACUAUUUUCGGUUUAUAUAAUGCCAUGAGCCUUAACAGGCAGGGUAUCCUUUUGCUAGCUGCUCCUUUUUGUUUAAAGACCUUAACCGUACUGUAACUACAAUCUCCUCUCCAUGAUUUAAAAAAUUGUUGGUUGACUAGGUUCCUAGUAUUGCAAAAUAAAGUUUUUGGUCCUGCUAGUCUAACUGAGUCAGUAUAUGAGGAAGGAGUAAAAGAAUACCCUCUUUGCUUUGAUUAACUUUUAGUUUUGUUUCUGAAUUGAACAAUCAUUUUACAAUAUACAUUGCAGCAACCAUACUUGCACAUGGACAAACCUAGCAGUGGUAAGACAUACAC